AAAAAAAGUGCCACCAAAAUCAGUCUUCUCAAUUCUGCUAAAACUUUUACUCACUCUCACAGUCACUCACUCAGUCAUGCCUACAAUUCUCUUCCUCUCUUCCACUCCCCAUUUCCCCUCCCAAUAUUCUCACCUCACCGUCUCAUCCUCCUUAAACCCAAAACCUCCCAAAACCCAUAACCCCACUCACUCCUCCAAAUCCAAUACCCCAACCCCAACCACCACAAACCCAGAAUUCUCUGUUUCCUCAAACCCACUUUCACAAUCCAAUGCCACCGUUAAAGUUCCCACACCUCCAUGGAUGAAGGGUCCCCUUCUUCUUCAACCCCAUGAAGUUCUCGACCUCUCCAAACUCCACACCAAGAAGAGCUCUAACAAUGAAAGAGUGGAAAAGUCUGAUAAGGCCCUGACUGAGAAAGUUGGUGUCAGAGGCAAGAGAGCGGUGGGAAAGAUCGUAAGGCAAAUUGAAAAGCUUCAAAAAAACGAUCUUUCUGAAGAAACCCAGAUGGGUUCUGGUGAGUUUGGGCUUGAAGUGUGUUUGGAAGGGCUUGGAGAAGAUGGUAGUAGUGGUGAGAGAGUUAUAGAGAAAAUGCCAUGGGAGAAGGAUGUGGAAAAGUUAGUUUUUCGGAGGAUGAAGAAGGAAAAGGUGGUAACUGCUGCGGAAUUGAGGCUUGACAAGGCCUUGCUUGAGAGGUUGAGAGGUGAGGCCGCUAAGAUGAGGAAAUGGGUGAAGGUGAAGAAAGCUGGUGUCACUCAAGGUGUGGUUGAUGAGGUUAGACUGCUUUGGAGGAGGAAUGAGCUUGUUAUGCUGAAGUUCGAUGUCCCUUUGUGCAGGAAUAUGGAUAGAGCUCAAGAAAUCGUUGAGACCAAGACUGGAGGUUUGGUUGUUUGGAGUAAGAAAGAUAAUCUUGUUGUAUACCGAGGAUGCAAUUAUCAGUUAACUCCGAAGAAAUUUCUAAACACUCGUGCAUGGCUUGCUGGCAGUCAAGAAAUGCCUCUCUACAAAAUGGGUCAGCCACAGUUGGAAAGAAACUCUGAUACUUUUCAAGUUAACUCCGAUGAAAGUGCUGUAGUUGAAAAGAUUUGCGGAAAGGACAGUAAGAGAGAGACUUUGCAUAGUAGCAUCUUUUUAAAUGAAGAUUUGAAUUGCCAAGCAGUAUGCGGAUCACUUUAUGAGAGGGAAAUGGACAGGUUGUUGGAUGGCUUGGGACCUCGCUUCAUUGACUGGUGGAUGCGCAAACCUUUGCCAAUAGAUGCGGACUUACUUCCUGAAGUGGUUCCUGGAUUUAGGCCACCAUUUAGGCUUUGUCCACCACAUACUAGAGCAAAGUUGACAGAUGAGGAUUUGACAUCCUUGAGGAAGCUUGCUCGCGCUUUACCUACUCAUUUUGUCCUUGGGAGAAAUAGAAAACUUCAAGGCUUGGCUGUGGCUAUCUUAAAACUUUGGGAAAAAAGUCUUAUAGUGAAGAUUGCUCUGAAGUGGGGAGUCCCAAAUACAAACAAUGAGGAAAUGGCGUUUGAACUCAAGAUUCUUACAGGUGGGGUUCUUUUGUUGCGUAAUAAGUUUCUGAUAAUACUUUAUAGAGGAAAGGACUUCCUUCCUGGAAGAGUAGCAAAUUUAGUAUCGGAGAGAGAAACUAAGCUCAAAGGAUUCCAACUUCAUGAAGAAGGUGCACGUCUUAAAGCGAUUGAAACUAUUUGUUUAGAUAAUGGCCCAACAGAAAACACUAGUAUGUCUGGAACUUUAUCAGAAUUCCAGGAUAUCCAAACAGAGUUCAGGGACCUGAAAAAUGGAAAUUCAGAUGUUGAAAUUAAAUGUGAAGCUGAAAAACAAAGAUUAGAGAGUGAGCUAAGAAAGCAAGAGCACAAGCUUUUUAUUCUUAACAUAAAGAUUGAUAAGUCAAUGAAGGAGUUAUCAAAGUUGAAUGCUGCAUGGGCACCAGCAGAGCAGGAUGCAGACCAGGAAAUGAUGACAGAAGAAGAGAGACUGUGUUUCCAGAAGAUAGGACUGAAGAUGGAUAGUUGUUUAGUUCUUGGUAGGCGUGGGGUCUUUGAUGGUGUUAUAGAAGGCCUGCAUCAACACUGGAAAUACAGAGAAGUAGUCAAGGUGAUUACAAUGCAGAGAUUGUUUCAUCAGGUCAUUUACACUGCUAAACUGCUUGAAGCAGAAAGUGGUGGAAUUCUUGUUUCAGUGGACAAGCGAAAAGAAGGUCAUGCUAUAAUUAUUUACCGUGGGAAAAACUACCGACGGCCUCUAAAACCAGAGCACAAGAAUCUUCUGACUAAGAGAAAAGCAUUACAUAGAUCCAUUGAGAUGCAGAGACUUGGAUCGCUGAAGUAUUUUGCUUACGAGAGACAGCGGGCAAUCACAGAUUUGAAACUCAAAUUGGCAGAGCUGCAGGAUAGCAGGUUGGUCGAUCAAGGAGAAUGUUAAGUUUUACAAAACCUUAGGUAAUGGAUUUAUCAUGCCAUGAUUCCUCUUAAAACGUUCAUCUUGUUUGGGAGAUGAAGGAUGUGGACGUGCCAUUGGAGGGGAAUUCCCCAUCUGCUACUCACCAAAUUACUUUGCAAGACUGUCAAGGUGUAAGCUAAAUUCAGAAGGUGAGCCCCAAAUAUAUGUGUGCCUCAAGGGCAUCAAUUAUAGGCAAGUUUCCCUCUGGUUAGGUGCUACAUUAGCAUUCAUCCAAACAUAUUGAGCCUCACCACUUGAUUUGACUUAAUGAGUCAUUAAAACUGGCAUAUUGGAACUGAAAAUUCAUCUAGAUUGGCUUUAGGAUAGGCAUUCUGAAUGUGUCAUAUGAACGGUUUUUAGUUAAUAAUGUGUCAUAUGAACUCCUGCAACAUAGAUAGGUGUUUUCACCGUUGGUUGUAUCACUGUAUGAUGAAUUAAGCCAGAGCAUCUAUAAGUUAACUUGCUUGAAAUAUUCUCUCAAAUAGGACUGAAUAGAUAAUUUUGGGAAUUAGUAUUGCAUAUUCAUGUGGCUAGUGUAAAAAUUAGUCAUUCUUUUAUGAAUGGACCACUAUAGAUACUCGUUGGGUUAUUGACUACUAAAAUACAUGUGGUGACCUUGACUAAUUUGUUGAUGAUCCAUAGCCGACCCCCAAAAAUUUGGGACUAAGGCUUUGUUGUUGUUGUAUCAUGUAUUCUUGCUUUGAGACAGCUAAUUUUAGUUGACCAUCUCCAAGAUCUUCUGUAUCAAACAAAAUUUGCGAUUAAGUACAUCCUACAUUAAUUGUCAAGAUAGUUCCAUGUCUACUCUUGAAAAUACCUGAAUAAUCACAUAAAUGAAUAACUUAGAUUUUCUUGCAUAUGUAUUAUCCAAUAGUUGGGUGUUAAAUGACUGCAUAUUGUGUUAAU